CGUUUAUACGCCAGAUGUCACUGAAUAUACUUCAUUCACAGUUUCGUAUUCGGCGAAGGGCACCUGCUAGGAUGAGGACUUAAGGGUCAUUCACAGAACAGAACAGAUCGCUAAAAGGUGAACUAUAGAUAGAUACAUAUAUAUAUAUAUAUAUAUUUUACUAUUUUACCUCUACACACUACGCUCAAAUAGAAAACUAUACAUACACUAAUAUUUUGUUGAUUUCUAUUUUUCCUCUUUACAUCAUCAUCCACACACACACACACACACAUAUAUAUAUAUAUAUAUUAUACAUAUAUAUAUAUAUACCGUUCUACAUCUUAAAGUGUGCUUCUUCUUUCGAUUUUAUGUUUUUUUUCACAGACUAUAUAUAUAUAUAUGGUACUAUAUAUGAAGAAUCGUGCCGGUGCGCGCACUCGCGUGUCGGCACUAGCUAGUCAUGACUAGUCGAUCCUUACUUUGCGUUUUUGUGUUUUAUUUACUUUGCUUGGUAGUCGUUAUAGGAUCGACUAGUCACGAGUGCGCACACCGGGACCAUUCUUCUUAAAUAGUACCUAUAUAUAUGUAUAUAUACAAAGUAAUUAAGGGUUUAGCAACGAUUUGCCUCAUCACACACCGAAUUUAGAAAUAGCAGUCAAAGAGUUUUGGCUAUUCUUUCUACUUAAAAGGGAAAUCCCAGUAAAACCACAGCACUUAAAAGGCAAACAUAUAUAUAUGUAUAUAUAUAUUUUUUUUUUUACUUGUUUCAGUCAUUUGACUGCGGCCAUGCUGGAGCACCGCCUUUUAAUCGAGCAACUCUACCCUGGGACUUAUUCUUUUGUAAGCCCAGUACUUAUUCUAUCGGUCUCUUUUGCCGAACCGCUAAGUAACGGGGACAUAAACACACCAGCAUCGGUUGUCAAGCAAUGCUAGGGGGACAAACACAGACACACACACGCAUAUAUAUAUAUAUAUAUAUAUACAUAUAUACGACGGACUUCUUUCAGUUUCCGUCUAUCAAAUCCACUCACAAGGCUUUGGUCGGCCCGAGGCUAUAGUAGAAGACACUUUCCCAAGGUGCCACGCAGUGGGACUGAACCCGGAACCAUGUGGUUGGUAAACAAGCUACUUACCACACAGCCACUCUUGCGCCUAUAUAUGUAUAUAUAUAGGCGGCGAGCUGGCAGACGACACGUUAGCGCGUCGGGCGAAAUGCUUAGCGGUAUUUCGUCUGUCGUUACAUUCUGAGUUCAAAUUCCGCCGAGGUGAACUUUGCCUUUCAUCCUUUCGGGGUCGAUAAAUAAAGUACCAGUUUCGCACUGGGGUCGAUAUAAUCGACUCAAUCCCUUCGUCUGUCCUUGUUUGUCCCCUCUAUGUAUAGCCCCUUCUGGGCAGUAAAGAAAUAUAUAUUUAUAUAUAUGUAUAAUCUGGCACAGGAGUGGCUGUGUGGUAAGUAGCUUGCUAACCAACCACAUGGUUCCGGGUUCAGUCCCACUGCGUGGCAUCUUGGGCAAGUGUCUUCUGCUAUAGCCCCGGGCCGACCAAUGCCUUGUGAGUGGAUUUGGUAGACGGAAACUGAAAGAAGCCUGUCGUAUAUAUGUAUAUAUAUAUAUGUGUGUGUGUAUGUGUUUGUGUGUCUGUGUUUGUCCCCCUAGCAUUGCUUGACAACCAAUGCUGGUGUGUUUACAUCCCCGUCACUUAGCGGUUCGGCAAAAGAGACCGAUAGAAUAAGUACUGAGCUUACAAAAAGAAUAAGUCCCGGGGUCGAUUUGCUCGACUAAAGGCGGUGCUCCAGCAUGGCCGCAGUCAAAUGACUGAAACAAGUAAAAGAGUAUAUAAUGUCGCAUACGUACAUCACCACAUGAACAAUUUUCUAUUUCUUUCAGUUUGCAAACCUUGGACAUAUCACACUUUGAACCCGCGACCAUCUCUACCGAUCUCUCCUUCGCACGAUGUCGAGCGUCUUGAAGGAUGCGCGCGUGCAGCAGUUCCUGGAGAUUGAAACCCAGAAGCAGAAAUUCCAGCAGCUGGUACACACCCUGAACGAGCAGUGUUGGGACAUAUGCGUGGACAAGACCGGACAGAAGUUGGACAGUCGCACCGAGUCAUGCAUCGCCAACUGUGUGGAACGUUUCAUUGACACGACCAAUUUUGUGGUCAACCGACUGGAAAGUGUCCAGGUGACGGGACCAGACGAUGACGAACUGAUGUGAUGGCGAUGAUAGUGAAUGAUGAGGAGGGUAAAGGAUAUGGUGAUGGUGCCUUUGUAGACAAAGUGAUAGAGCUGUUUACGUAGAACCGCACACAUAGGUAAAGAUGGUAAUGUUCUGGUUUUCGUUCAUAAAAUAAAUUAAUCUUCUAUUUCUUGUGGAGAGCUUAACAUUCUUUCAGUUUCGUCCCACAAGAGACAGCUCACUUGACUUAAACUGUUCCUUCUUUACUGGUUCUUUACCAUUAUAAUAUCUUAACUGCUGUUUCUAGCAUAAAUGUUAACUUGAAUGCUGUUGAUUGUAACUUCGAAGUUUCGAACUUUUAUGUCAUUGUCAACAACAUUCUUGUUUAACCCUUUAGCAUUUAAACCGGCCAUAUCCGGCCAAAAGUAUUCUGCCUGUUUUAUGUUCAAACUGGCCAGAUCUGGUCUCUCACACCAGCCCUACAAUAUCGUUUUAAAAAUUAACAGCUACCUCAUCAAAAUCUCAUAGCACCAAGAUAAUUCAUGAUUAGUUCAAAACAAUUUGGAUGAAGAAGCAUUAAUUUUGGCAGAAUAAUGUGAACCCUAAAGGGUUAAAAAUAAAUUUGUAUUCUACAACAGUGUAGAGUAACCCAUCAAAUUAAUGUAAUUUUUUUUUAUUGUAACUAAGCAUAAAAACCAUCGUUAAUCUAUCUCGAUCUAUCAACCCCAUAACUGCCCUGUCAUAACCAACGACUAUUAUACAUGCGCACACACACUUAUAUAUAUAUGUAUGUAUAGGCGUGGUACAAGCAUGUUUAAGAAGUUUGCUUCCAGUUUAGUACCUUGGGCAAGUAGGAUCUUUUCGGUUUGAACGGCAGUUUUUUUCUAGGGUUGUCAUAUGAAAUUGUCACCUAUAAUUAUGACACUUGUAUCGAUCUAUUGCAUUUCAAUCUGUUUUAGGGGUGGGGGGAGGGUAUCUUUUAUUUCUUCACAAAUGUAAAUAAACCUAAUCUGUUUCUUAAAUGAGGGACAUAUUCAUACGGUACAGAAUGUUUAUUUUUACCUCAAUAAACGUCAGUGAUUGGUUGAAAUUGCAGAAAUUGAAGAAAAAAAACAACAAAUAUCUUACAAACUAUAGAAUUUUCUCAAUAUAGCCAAGAGAAAAAGAUGUUUUAUAAACACAUUCUACCAGUUUACGAAGUUUAAAAUUUUUUAGUUACCUAGAAAUUAAUGUUAAAAGUUACCGUUCAAACCGAAAAGAUCCGGCUAGUAUCUUCCACAAUAUCUCCAGGCUGACCAAUGCCUUGUGAGCGAAUUUAGUUAAUAAACUGUGUGUGUAUUUUCUGUUCAUUUCCCCACCACCGUUUAUCUUUGAAUGACAUUGUUGGGUGGGUGUGAGAGGCCAGAUGUGGUCAGUUUGAACAUAAAACAAGUUGACUAUUUGGCUCAGAUAUUACCUUUUACCUGUUUCAGUCAUUAGAAUGAGGCCAUGCUGGAGCACCGCCUUAGCUGGUUUAAGUGUUAAACCAGCAGCGGUUCUCAACUAGGUCCAUAGAGACCUCUGAAAUUUCAUAUAAGAUUUUAUAGGGGACAACAUAACAAAAUAGUAUAUCAGGGAUCCACAAUAAAAUCUGAAGGGCCUUGGGUCCCUGAGAAAAGUUUGCAUUAGAUCAGUGGUUCUCAGCUUUUUCACUUAAUGUUAAUGUUUCCCUUGAUUAAAUUGAACGUUAAACUAGGACAUCACCCUGGUGUUAUGAUUAAAUCACACUUUAAACUAGGACAUCACCCUGGUGUUAAGUGAUGAUGAGAUAAUAAGUGAUUUCUCACAUAAUUCACAGUGGAAGGGGUUUUUUUGCCCUGUAUUUGUGUGUUUUUCAGUGGCCCUUAAUAAUAGGCUUUUCUGUAUAUCACAGUGGAUGGGUUUUUCUCCUGUAUGACUACAUUUAUCAACCAUAAAGACUAGAAUGAUAUACCACAUAUAUCACAGUGAAAAUGUUUUUUUCUUUUUCUUUUUGAGUUCCUCACCCCACAUCCACUUAACUGA
rnacentral:lncRNA from 1 species